rnacentral:rRNA from 1 species
UACGGGGGGGCGAAGCGUUGUUCGGAAUUACUGGGCGUAAAGGCUCGUAGGCGGCCAACUAAGUCAGACGUGAAAUCCCCAGGCUUAACCUGGAACUGCAUUCGAGACUGCAUUGCUAGAGUAUGGGAGAGGGAAGUGGAAUUUCCGGUGUAGCGGUGAAAUGCGUAGAUAUCGGAAGGAACAUCAGUGGCGAAAGCGACUUCCUGGACCAAUACUGACGCUCAUGUGCGAAAGCGUGGGGAGCAAACAGGAUU